UACGAGGGGGGCAAGCGUUGUCCGGAAUUAUUGGGCGUAAAGAGCUUGUAGGCGGUUUGUCGCGUCUGCUGUGAAAUUCCAGGGCUUAACCCUGGGCUUGCAGUGGGUACGGGCAGACUAGAGUGUGGUAGGGGAGACUGGAAUUCCGGGUGUAGCGGUGGAAUGCGUAGAGAUCCGGAAGAACACCGGUGGCGAAGGCGGCCCGCUGGGCAACUGCUGACACUGAGGCGCGACAGCGUGGGGAGCAAACAGG
rnacentral:rRNA from 1 species